rnacentral:rRNA from 1 species
UACGUAGGGAGCAAGCGUUGUCCGGAAUCAUUGGGCGUAAAGCGCGCGUAGGCGGCCAGAUAAGUCCGGUGUGAAAGCCACAGGCUCAACCUGUGAAUGCCGCUGGAAACUGUCUGGCUAGAGUCCGGGAGGGGCGAGUGGAAUUCCUGGUGUAGCGGUGGAAUGCGCAGAUAUCAGGAGGAACACCAAUGGCGAAGGCAGCUCGCUGGAACGGAACUGACGCUGAGGCGCGAAAGCGUGGGGAGCGAACAGG